CUAAGUACAGCAGGUGCUGCAGGCGGAGGAUCGCGGUCUGCUGUCAUAAGGAAAAAGAGCUUUAUUGAAGAUGAAGCAAACAAUAUAAACAGAUUGCUGGAAUCAUACAAAAAAAGGAAAUCAGUAUGAAUAAGACCGUCUAUGGGAAGGUCACGUUACAAAGUUGUUUGCUGAAGAACAAUGCAUAACAACGAAAUACAGAAACAAAAAACAACAUAAGAUAAACAUUGUGCGAUAUUGUUCUCGCAGUUUCUUUAUAGAUACUCUUGAAUUCUACCCUACUCUGGGCAGCCCGAAGGACACCUCCGGUGAAUCAGCAGCAACU